UGGGGGAAUUAAGAUAUGAUGUUAAAGGUAAUGCUUUUUUAUCCUCUCCCAUCCUCUGACUCUCUCAAGGACCCAAGAUUGUCCCAGGACUUCUAGGAGCUGAGGCUGAGGGUGACAGUGGACUCAACCAGCCUUCAGCAAGGAGUCCCCAAAGAAAGGGGGACUGAUAUCCAAGUUCAAGGCCAGGGCCUUAGAAAGGGAGUAAUAAUGAUCCCUGGCAAGUCUCAGAGAGGAGGCAAGACAGCUGUGUGCUUUAGAAGGGAGUCUGAGAGCAAAACCUUCCAGCAGGGAAGAAGUCUUGUCAGCAGCUAACAUUACUAAUUCUAUAGCUUAUUCUUCCUCAGAAGGUUGAUUUACCAAAGCAAAUGGGGGAAAGAUGAUGCUCACUGUCAUAGAUACAAAGUGGCCAUGUUUUCAGCCUGGCAUAUUUUCCAAGGCAAAUGAAAAUUGUUAUGAAAACAAUUUAUACUCGGCAGACAUGGAUGAUUUCCCGUGAUGACCUUUUGCCAGAGAAAAUGGAUCUGAUAAAGAAAAAAUGUGAGCUCAUUAGGACAAAUUAGAAAAAGCAAAUGAUUGCUCUUAAAUUAUGGAAAUUCCAAGACUGGUGAAUCUCUCUGUCCUUUUAGGACAUAAAAACAAUACAACACCAAAAGAAAUUGUGUAUUCAGAAAGAAGUUUGCAAUCUGCAAUUUGGGGCACAGCAUUGGUGCUUCCACUACAAAACGUGGGUGCCCAGAAUUGCAGAGGAAAGAUGAGAGCAGUGGAUGUGAAGACAUCACUUGGGAAACUUUUAACAUCCUCCUACUUCCCUGAUACACCCACAGGCACACAGUGUUAUAAUUUAUAAAUGCUUUUAUAUACCCCAUCCUCAGUCUUCAGAGCAGUCCUCUUAUUUAUUUGUCCUGCCAUGGUGUGGAGAGUACAUCACCUAUGGUUUCAUGCAUUGACACUGAGCACCCACUGUGAGGUAUUAAGAGAGGGAAUUGGUCAUUAGAAUUAGACAAGGUCACCAGAGUGGAGCCCCUAAGAUUGGACUCAUAGCGGCUUUAAAAGAAGAGGAAGAGAGACCAGGAGCUAUAUAUGUGAAAAAGCACUUCCUCUGUCUGUCACAUGAUGUCCGGAGCUGCCGUGGACUCCACCGGUAAGAGGGACAUCACCA
rnacentral:lncRNA from 1 species